rnacentral:rRNA from 1 species
GUGUCAGCAGCCGCGGUAAUACGAAGGGGGCUAGCGUUGUUCGGAAUUACUGGGCGUAAAGCGCACGUAGGCGGAUAUUUAAGUCGGGGGUGAAAUCCCGGGGCUCAACCCCGGAACUGCCUUCGAUACUGGGUAUCUUGAGUUCGGAAGAGGUGAGUGGAAUUGCGAGUGUAGAGGUGAAAUUCGUAGAUAUUCGCAGGAACACCAGUGGCGAAGGCGGCUCACUGGUCCGAUACUGACGCUGAGGUGCGAAAGCGUGGGGAGCAAACAGGAUUAGAUACCCCCGUAGUCC